UACAGAGGUCUCAAGCGUUGUUCGGAUUCAUUGGGCGUAAAGGGUGCGUAGGCGGCGCGGUAAGUCGGGUGUGAAAUCUCGGAGCUUAACUCCGAAACUGCAUUCGAUACUGCUGUGCUUGAGUGUGGGAGAGGCGCGUGGAAUUGCAGGUGUAGCGGUGAAAUGCGUAGAUAUCUGCAGGAACACCCGUGGCGAAAGCGGCGCGCUGGACCACUACUGACGCUGAGGAACGAAAGCUAGGGGAGCAAACAGG
rnacentral:rRNA from 1 species